rnacentral:rRNA from 1 species
GAUGAACGCUGGCGGCGUGCUUAACACAUGCAAGUCGAACGAUGAAGCCCAGCUUGCUGGGUGGAUUAGUGGCGAACGGGUGAGUAACACGUGAGUAGCCUGCCCUUAAAUCUGGGAGAAGCAUGGGAAAGUGGGUCUAAUAACGGAUGGGAGCUUUAACCGCAUGGUGGGUGUUGUAAAGAUUUAUCGUUUUUGGAUGGACUCGCGGCCUAUCAGCUUGUUGGUGAGGUAUUGGCUCACCAAGGCGACGACGGGUAGCCGGCCUGUGAGGGUGACCGGCCACACUGGGCCUGAGAAACGGCCCAGACUCCUACGGGAGGCAGCAGUGGGGAAUAUUGCACAAUGGGCGCAAGCCUGAUGCAGCGACGCCGCGUGAGGGAUGACGGCCUUCGGGUUGUAAACCUCUUUCAGUAGGGAAGACGCGAAAGUGACGGUACCUGCCGAAGAAGCACCGGCUAACUACGU